CCACAGUGCAUUUUACUCUAAUAAUAAAAUGUCUUAUGUGAGAAUGAUUGAAGAAUAUGUUCAUUUUGUCGUUCAAUUACUGCUAUUUGUAAUUGUUUGUGCUAAUGGAUCAUGCAUUAAAGCCACUGUUGGACAACAGCUACAGUGAUUUCCAGCUGGUUCAGCUCCCAGCCAGCAACAGCCAGCGAUCCGAACAAGGCCAUUAGGUAAGUUCAGUUCUUUAGCAUAAAGCUAAAUGAAAUCCUAUGUAAUAAAACCCUCAUGUUGAAAGAAUUAGCUUUCUGAAACAAAUUAUUUUUUCUGAAGAUUUUGUAAUUUCAUGGUAUUAGUUCUAUCCAUGUUGCUUAAAUUUUCAUUAGUUUGUGAUCUAUAGGAACGUGUAAUCUGACCCUUUUGCUCUAUGGUCUUCCUUAUGUGGAUUGGUAUGAGCAAUAAGCUGCCGCCCAAGUCUGUUAGGCUCGCGCUCCACGGGGCAAAUCCCGUGGGGGGCUCGGACGGCGUCACCUCACACCCCAUCCUCUUCCUGCUGUCCUUAUGGUCGUUCAAGCUCAAGGUGGCGCUGCAACAAGCCUAGGACAGAAGCCCUGGAGAGGUUGCUGGCAGGAGAACUAAAAUGAGGCUAGCGAUAGGCCGGAUAUCUGAUGGCAAAGUUGAAUAUGCAAAGAGGAUCUGUGCAUUUGUACGUGACAUUUAUAGGGAGCUGACCCUUGUGGUACCUCUAAUGGAUGACAACAGCGAGAUGAAAAAGAAAACAUAUGAAUUCUUAGUGCUAGAUAUAAAUCUAUUUUUUCUGGGACAACACACAAGGAUGAUUAUAUGAAACAGGUACGUGCAACUCCACUAGUCACAAAAGAAAAAGGGCGGAGAGCAAACAAGUAAAGGAGCUUUGGCCGUAUUCAAUCGGGCCCAAUGCUCACGGAGACGAGCGGCGAUAGAUGCCGCCGGCGCAACAGCACCGCGCCUGGCAGCCCGCACGCGCUAGGCCGCAGCGGCGCUUGGUUGUUUUUUUUUGCCCUUCUCAUUCCCCCACGUGGAUCACGUGUAGUGAUAAAAGAUGUAGCUCAUGGCAGUCAAUUGGAAGAAGACGCCAAAGGUUCCAUUUAUUUCAAUUGACUAGGUAGACGAGCUCCCACCUACUCCUGUUAAUGUAAUGGCAACUGAAUAAAGACCAUGAUGUAUACUAACAUCAUAGUAUUGUUGAUGUUUUUCA